rnacentral:rRNA from 1 species
UGAAUACGAGACGCUAAGGCGUCGAAGUAGUGUAUGUCAUACUUCCAAGAAAAGCUUGCACUGUCAUAAGUAAAAAAUGCCUGUACCAUAACCGACACAGGUGGGUAGGUAGAGUAUACUAAGGGGCGCGAGAUAACUCUCUCUAAGGAACUCGGCAAAAUAACUCCGUAACUUCGGGAGAAGGAGUACCUUAUUCUAUAAGGUUGCAAUAACAAGAUCCAAGCAACUGUUUAUCAAAAACACAGGUCUCCGCUAAGUCGUAAGACGAUGUAUGGGGGCUGACGCCUGCCCAGUGCCAGAAGGUUAAAGUAGUCGGUUAGCAUUAGCGAAGCUGGUAACUGAAGCCCUGGUGAACGGCGGCCGUAACAAUAACGGUCCUAAGGUAGCGAAAUUCCUUGUCGGGUAAGUUCCGACCCGCACGAAAGGCGUAAUGAUUUGGAUACUGUCUCGGAGAGGGGCUCGGUGAAAUAGACUUGUCUGUGAAGAUGCGGACUACCUGCACCAGGACAGAAAGACCCUAUGAAGCUUUACUGUAACUUGAAAUUGAAAUUGGACUUUAUUCGCGCAGUAUAGGUGGGAGGUGUUGAUUAUAAUCUUGCGGGAUCAUUGGAGCCAUCAGUGAGAUACCACUCUUGUAAUGUUAGAUUUCUAACUUUGAAUCAUUAUCUGGUCAAAGGACAGUUUCAGGCGGGCAGUUUGACUGGGGCGGUCGCCUCCCAAACGGUAACGGAGGCGUACAAAGGUUUCCUCUGAACGGGUAGAAAUCGUAUCUAGAGUGUAAAGGCAUAAGGAAGCUUGACUGUGAGACCUACAAGUCGAACAGGGACGAAAGUCGGUCUUAGUGAUCUGACGGUACUGAGUGGAAAGGCCGUCACUCAACGGAUAAAAGUUACUCUAGGAUAACAGGCUGAUCUCCCCCAAGAGUUCACAUCGACGGGGAGGUUUGGCACCUCGAUGUCGGCUCAUCGCAUCCUGGGGCGGUAGUACGUCCCAAGGGUUGGGCUGUUCGCCCAUGAAAGCGGUACGCGAGCUGGGUUCAGAACGUCGUGAGACAGUUCGGUCCAUAUCCGGUGUAGGCGUUAGAAUAUUGAGAGGAGCCUUCUUUAGUACGAGAGGACCGAGAAGGACAUACCUCUGGUGUACCAGUUAUCGUGCCAACGGUAAACGCUGGGUAGCUAUGUAUGGAGUGGAUAACCGCUGAAAGCAUCUAAGUGGGAAGCCCACCUCAAGAUAAGUAUUCUCC